UACGGGGGGGGCAAGCGUUGUUCGGAAUUACUGGGCGUAAAGGGCUCGUAGGCGGCCAACUAAGUCACACGUGAAAUCCCUCGGCUCAACCGGGGAACUGCGUGUGAGACUGGAUGGCUUGAGUUUGGGAGAGGAAUGCGGAAUUCCAGGUGUAGCGGUGAAAUGCGUAGAUACUGGGAGGAACACCGGUGGCGAAGGCGGCUACCUGGACCGGUUCUGACGCUGAUGCGCGAAAGCGUGGGUAGCAAACAGG
rnacentral:rRNA from 1 species